rnacentral:rRNA from 1 species
GACGAACGCUGGCGGCGUGCCUAAUACAUGCAAGUAGAACGCUGAAGGAGGAGCUUGCUUCUCUGGAUGAGUUGCGAACGGGUGAGUAACGCGUAGGUAAUCUGCCUGGUAGCGGGGGAUAACUAUUGGAAACGAUAGCUAAUACCGCAUAAGAGUGGAUGUUGCAUGACAUUUGCUUAAAAGGUGCACUUGCAUCACUACCAGAUGGACCUGCGUUGUAUUAGCUAGUUGGUGGGGUAACGGCUCACCAAGGCGACGAUACAUAGCCGACCUGAGAGGGUGAUCGGCCACACUGGGACUGAGACACGGCCCAGACUCCUACGGGAGGCAGCAGUAGGGAAUCUUCGGCAAUGGACGGAAGUCUGACCGAGCAACGCCGCGUGAGUGAAGAAGGUUUUCGGAUCGUAAAGCUCUGUUGUAAGAGAAGAACGAGUGUGAGAGUGGAGAGUUCACACUGUGACGGUAUCUUACCAGAAAGGGACGGCUAACUACGUGCCAGCAGCCGCGGUAAUACGUAGGUCCCGAGCGUUGUCCGGAUUUAUUGGGCGUAAAGCGAGCGCAGGCGGUUAGAUAAGUCUGAAGUUAAAGGCUGUGGCUUAACCAUAGUAGGCUUUGGAAACUGUUUAACUUGAGUGCAAGAGGGGAGAGUGGAAUUCCAUGUGUAGCGGUGAAAUGCGUAGAUAUAUGGAGGAACACCGGUGGCGAAAGCGGCUCUCUGGCUUGCAACUGACGCUGAGGCUCGAAAGCGUGGGGAGCAAACAGG